AGAGUUUGAUCCUGGCUCAGGAUGAACGCUGGCGGCGUGCUUAACACAUGCAAGUCGAACGAGCCUUCGGGCUAGUGGCGGACGGGUGAGUAACGCGUGAGAAUCUGCCCUCAGGAGGGGGAUAACGGCUGGAAACGGCCGCUAAUACCCCAUAUGCCGCGAGGUGAAAUGAGAAAUCGCCUGAGGAUGAGCUCGCGUCUGAUUAGCUAGUUGGUGGGGUAAGAGCCUACCAAGGCAUCGAUCAGUAGCAGGUCUGAGAGGAUGAUCAGCCACACUGGGACUGAGACACGGCCCAGACUCCUACGGGAGGCAGCAGUGGGGAAUUUUCCGCAAUGGGCGCAAGCCUGACGGAGCAACGCCGCGUGAGGGAUGAAGGCCUCUGGGCUGUAAACCUCUUUUCUCAAGGAAGAAGAACUGACGGUACUUGAGGAAUAAGCCACGGCUAAUUCCGUGCCAGCAGCCGCGGUAAUACGGGAGUGGCAAGCGUUAUCCGGAAUUAUUGGGCGUAAAGCGUCCGCAGGCGGUCUUGAAAGUCUGUUGUUAAAGCGUGGAGCUCAACUCCAUUUCAGCAAUGGAAACUAGAAGACUAGAGUGUGGUAGGGGCAGAGGGAAUUCCCGGUGUAGCGGUGAAAUGCGUAGAUAUCGGGAAGAACACCAGUGGCGAAGGCGCUCUGCUGGGCCAUAACUGACGCUCAUGGACGAAAGCCAGGGGAGCGAAAGGGAUUAGAUACCCCUGUAGUCCUGGCCGUAAACGAUGAACACUAGGUGUCGGGGGAAUCGACCCCCUCGGUGUCGUAGCCAACGCGUUAAGUGUUCCGCCUGGGGAGUACGCACGCAAGUGUGAAACUCAAAGGAAUUGACGGGGGCCCGCACAAGCGGUGGAGUAUGUGGUUUAAUUCGAUGCAACGCGAAGAACCUUACCAGGGUUUGACAUCCUGCGAAUCUUUUGGAAACAGAAGAGUGCCUUCGGGAGCGCAGAGACAGGUGGUGCAUGGCUGUCGUCAGCUCGUGUCGUGAGAUGUUGGGUUAAGUCCCGCAACGAGCGCAACCCACGUCUUUAGUUGCCAGCAUUAAGUUGGGCACUCUAGAGAGACCGCCGGUGAUAAACCGGAGGAAGGUGUGGAUGACGUCAAGUCAUCAUGCCCCUUACAUCCUGGGCUACACACGUACUACAAUGCUACGGACAGAGGGCAGCAAACUCGCGAGAGCUAGCAAAUCCCAUAAACCGUGGCUCAGUUCAGAUCGUAGGCUGCAACUCGCCUACGUGAAGGAGGAAUCGCUAGUAAUCGCAGGUCAGCAUACUGCGGUGAAUACGUUCCCGGGCCUUGUACACACCGCCCGUCACACCAUGGAAGUUGGCCAUGCCCGAAGUCGUUACUCCAACCCUUGUGGGGGAGGACGCCGAAGGUGGGGCUGAUGACUGGGGUGAAGUCGUAACAAGGUA
rnacentral:rRNA from 1 species